rnacentral:rRNA from 1 species
CCGCGGUAAUACGGGAGAUGCGAGCGUCGUUCGGAAUCACUGGGCUUAAAGCGCGUGUAGGCGGCUCGGUAAGUACCUUGUGAAAUCCCACGUCUCAAACGUGGAACUGCUUGGUGUACUGCCGUACUCGAGGUUGGUAGAGGUGCCUGGAACUCUAGGUGGAGCGGUGAAAUGCGUAGAUAUCUAGAGGAACGCCCGUGGCGAAAGCGGGGCACUGGGCCACACCUGACGCUGAGACGCGAAAGCGUGG